CCUACGGGAGGCAGCAGUGGGGAAUAUUGGUCAAUGGGCGCAAGCCUGAACCAGCCAAGUAGCGUGAAGGAUGACUGCCCUACGGGUUGUAAACUUCUUUUAUAAGGGAAUAACGUGCUGCACGUGUGCCUUUUUGUAUGUACCUUAUGAAUAAGGAUCGGCUAACUUCGUGCCAGCAGCCGCGGUAAUACGGAGGAUCCGGGCGUUAUCCGGAUUUUUUGGGUUUAAAGGGAGCGUAGAUGGGAUGUUAAGUUAGUUGUGAAAGUUUGGGGCUCAACCGUAAAAUUGCAGUUGAUACUGGCGUUCUUGAGUACAGGUGAGGUAGGCGGAAUUCGUGGUGUAGCGGUGAAAUGCUUAGAUAUCACGAAGAACUCCGAUUGCGAAGGCAGCUUACUAAAGUGCAACUGACGUUGAUGCUCGAAAGUGUGGGUAUCGAACAGGAUUAGAUACCCCAGUAGUC
rnacentral:rRNA from 1 species